GACGAACGCUGGCGGCGUGCUUAACACAUGCAAGUCGAACGAAGUGGCGAACGGGUGAGUAACGCGUAAUAAACCUGCUUUUCAGAGGGGGACAACAGUUGGAAACGAUUGCUAAUACCGCAAUCUGACGGUGGGGAUCGUGUCUGAUUAGUUCGUUGGAGGGGUAAUGGCCCACCAAGGCGAUGAUGAGUAGCCGGUCUGGGUGGAUGAACGGCCACAUUGGGACUGAGACACGGCCCAGACUCCUCCGGGAGGCAGCAGUGGAGAGUCUUCCGCAAUGGACGAAAGUCUGACGAAGCAACGCCGCGUGAGUGAUGACGGCCUUCGAGUUGUAAAGCUCUGUUAAUCGGGACGCGGUACCGGAAUAGAAAGCCACGGCUAACUACGUGCCAGCAGCCGCGGUAAUAC
rnacentral:rRNA from 1 species